rnacentral:rRNA from 1 species
UACGUAGGGGGCUAGCGUUGUCCGGAUUUAUUGGGCGUAAAGAGCGUGUAGGCGGCCAGGUAGGUCUGGUGUGAAAACUCGAGGCUUAACCUCGAGAUGUCAUCGGAAACCAUCUGGCUAGAGUCCGGAAGAGGAGAGUGGAAUUCCUGGUGUAGCGGUGAAAUGCGCAGAUAUCAGGAAGAACACCCGUGGCUAAGGCGGCUCUCUGGGACGGUACUGACGCUGAGACGCGAAAGCGUGGGGAGCGAACAGG